UUAAGUUAUUAAGGGCGCACGGUGGAUGCCUUGGCACUAGAAGCCGAUGAAGGACGUUACUAACGACGAUAUGCUUUGGGGAGCUGUAAGUAAGCUUUGAUCCAGAGAUUUCCGAAUGGGGAAACCCAGCAUGAGUUAUGUCAUGUUAUCGAUAUGUGAAUACAUAGCAUAUCAGAAGGCACACCCGGAGAACUGAAACAUCUUAGUACCCGGAGGAAGAGAAAGAAAAUUCGAUUCCCUUAGUAGCGGCGAGCGAAACGGGAAGAGCCCAAACCAACAAGCUUGCUUGUUGGGGUUGUAGGACACUCUAUACGGAGUUACAAAGGACGACAUUAGACGAAUCAUCUGGAAAGAUGAAUCAAAGAAGGUAAUAAUCCUGUAGUCGAAAAUGUUGUCUCUCUUGAGUGGAUCCUGAGUACGACGGAGCACGUGAAAUUCCGUCGGAAUCUGGGAGGACCAUCUCCUAAGGCUAAAUACUCUCUAGUGACCGAUAGUGAACCAGUACCGUGAGGGAAAGGUGAAAAGCACCCCGGAAGGGGAGUGAAAUAGAACCUGAAACCGUGUGCUUACAAGUAGUCAGAGCCCGUUAAUGGGUGAUGGCGUGCCUUUUGUAGAAUGAACCGGCGAGUUACGAUUUGAUGCAAGGUUAAGCAGUAAAUGUGGAGCCGUAGCGAAAGCGAGUCUGAAUAGGGCGUUUAGUAUUUGGUCGUAGACCCGAAACCAGGUGAUCUACCCUUGGUCAGGUUGAAGUUCAGGUAACACUGAAUGGAGGACCGAACCGACUUACGUUGAAAAGUGAGCGGAUGAACUGAGGGUAGCGGAGAAAUUCCAAUCGAACCUGGAGAUAGCUGGUUCUCUCCGAAAUAGCUUUAGGGCUAGCCUCAAGUGAUGAUUAUUGGAGGUAGAGCACUGUUUGGACGAGGGGCCCCUCUCGGGUUACCGAAUUCAGACAAACUCCGAAUGCCAAUUAAUUUAACUUGGGAGUCAGAACAUGGGUGAUAAGGUCCGUGUUCGAAAGGGAAACAGCCCAGACCACCAGCUAAGGUCCCAAAAUAUAUGUUAAGUGGAAAAGGAUGUGGCGUUGCCCAGACAACUAGGAUGUUGGCUUAGAAGCAGCCAUCAUUUAAAGAGUGCGUAAUAGCUCACUAGUCGAGUGACACUGCGCCGAAAAUGUACCGGGGCUAAACAUAUUACCGAAGCUGUGGAUUGUCCUUUGGACAAUGGUAGGAGAGCGUUCUAAGGGCGUUGAAGCAUGAUCGUAAGGACAUGUGGAGCGCUUAGAAGUGAGAAUGCCGGUGUGAGUAGCGAAAGACGGGUGAGAAUCCCGUCCACCGAUUGACUAAGGUUUCCAGAGGAAGGCUCGUCCGCUCUGGGUUAGUCGGGUCCUAAGCUGAGGCCGACAGGCGUAGGCGAUGGAUAACAGGUUGAUAUUCCUGUACCACCUAUAAUCGUUUUAAUCGAUGGGGGGACGCAGUAGGAUAGGCGAAGCGUGCGAUUGGAUUGCACGUCUAAGCAGUAAGGCUGAGUAUUAGGCAAAUCCGGUACUCGUUAAGGCUGAGCUGUGAUGGGGAGAAGACAUUGUGUCUUCGAGUCGUUGAUUUCACACUGCCGAGAAAAGCCUCUAGAUAGAAAAUAGGUGCCCGUACCGCAAACCGACACAGGUAGUCAAGAUGAGAAUUCUAAGGUGAGCGAGCGAACUCUCGUUAAGGAACUCGGCAAAAUGACCCCGUAACUUCGGGAGAAGGGGUGCUCUUUAGGGUUAACGCCCAGAAGAGCCGCAGUGAAUAGGCCCAAGCGACUGUUUAUCAAAAACACAGGUCUCUGCUAAACCGUAAGGUGAUGUAUAGGGGCUGACGCCUGCCCGGUGCUGGAAGGUUAAGAGGAGUGGUUAGCUUCUGCGAAGCUACGAAUCGAAGCCCCAGUAAACGGCGGCCGUAACUAUAACGGUCCUAAGGUAGCGAAAUUCCUUGUCGGGUAAGUUCCGACCCGCACGAAAGGCGUAACGAUUUGGGCACUGUCUCAACGAGAGACUCGGUGAAAUCAUACUACCUGUGAAGAUGCAGGUUACCCGCGACAGGACGGAAAGACCCCGUGGAGCUUUACUGUAGCCUGAUAUUGAAAUUCGGCACAGCUUGUACAGGAUAGGUAGGAGCCUUUGAAACGUGAGCGCUAGCUUACGUGGAGGCGCUGGUGGGAUACUACCCUAGCUGUGUUGGCUUUCUAACCCGCACCACUUAUCGUGGUGGGAGACAGUGUCAGGCGGGCAGUUUGACUGGGGCGGUCGCCUCCUAAAAGGUAACGGAGGCGCUCAAAGGUUCCCUCAGAAUGGUUGGAAAUCAUUCAUAGAGUGUAAAGGCAUAAGGGAGCUUGACUGCGAGACCUACAAGUCGAGCAGGGUCGAAAGACGGACUUAGUGAUCCGGUGGUUCCGCAUGGAAGGGCCAUCGCUCAACGGAUAAAAGCUACCCCGGGGAUAACAGGCUUAUCUCCCCCAAGAGUUCACAUCGACGGGGAGGUUUGGCACCUCGAUGUCGGCUCAUCGCAUCCUGGGGCUGUAGUCGGUCCCAAGGGUUGGGCUGUUCGCCCAUUAAAGCGGUACGCGAGCUGGGUUCAGAACGUCGUGAGACAGUUCGGUCCCUAUCCGUCGUGGGCGUAGGAAAUUUGAGAGGAGCUGUCCUUAGUACGAGAGGACCGGGAUGGACAUACCUCUGGUGUACCAGUUGUCGUGCCAACGGCAUAGCUGGGUAGCUAUGUGUGGACGGGAUAAGUGCUGAAAGCAUCUAAGCAUGAAGCCCCCCUCAAGAUGAGAUUUCCCAACUUCGGUUAUAAGAUCCCUCAAAGAUGAUGAGGUUAAUAGGUUCGAGGUGGAAGCAUGGUGACAUGUGGAGCUGACGAAUACUAAUCGAUCGAAGACUUAAUCAA
rnacentral:rRNA from 1 species